rnacentral:rRNA from 1 species
UGUCCCGCCAGGGGCACGGCUGGUUAGCCACGUCCGGAUCGGAUAACCGCUGAAAGCAUCUAAGCGGGAAGCCGACCCCAAGAUGAGUUCUCCCACCGGGAAACCGGGUAAGACCCCUCGUAGACCACGAGGUUGAUAGGCCGGAAGUGGAAGCGCGGCAACGCGUGGAGCUGACCGGUACUAAUAGGUCGAGGGCUUGGUUCCUA